AUGUUUGAGGAUCUGUUAGAAACCACGUGGUACUUGUGUGAUUUUAUAAGUCAUCCUUGUUUGGCCUCAGCUGCAUUGGAGCUCUACUUCUCUCCUGGUUCACCAAAGAAACUAUCACUGCACACAAUGCUUUUCCUCCAAGCUGCUGCUCUGUGCUGUCUGUGUUCAGUGAUGGUUACUAUGGCUGAAGAGCUGAUACAGAGUGAUUUAACUCUGACCAGGAGAGCUGGUGAAAGUGUCUCCUUCAGCUGUGGGGGAACUGACCAGUGCAGCAGUCCCAUUGUAGACUGGUACCAGAAGAAAGAUACAAGAGAUUCAUUCAGAAUGCUUCUUUCUAUCAGCACGAAAAAUGGUGCAAUUACUAAAGGCUACAACCACCCCGAGGAAGAAGACUUCUCAGCUGUAAAGAAACAGGACGGCUGGGAGUUGGAGAUAAAGAAAGUUAAAGACGUUCAUUCAGCCACCUACUACUGCUGUUGCUCUAAAAGUUCUCACAGUGACAAAUGAUCCCUGCAGGCUGAACAAAAACCAUCAGAGCAAAAGCAAGAAACCACAACCCACAUUCACAUAUUUCACCUCCAUCUCAGUCUGAGACACAAGAACAGAGUUACAGAAAUUUCAGCAUUUAAAUCACACAAAUCGAAGUAUUUAUAUCAGCAAACAGUGAAAUGACUAUUUGUAAUGAAGGCUGAGAGCUCAGUGGGAAGUUUUCUAGUCUAGUAUGUUUGCACUAAAUAAAAGUGGUUUACAUUCUAAUUGCUUAUUAUCUUAACAGAAAGGAAGAAAAAGAAACAAAGUGUUGAUGUUUUUAAUGAUAAGAUUUCAAAGUUACACAUUUCAGAACUCCUGAAAUCACCUCAAAUUAAAUCAAUCACCUCUAAUAAUCCACAGAGAGAUCAGCAGAAGAGAGAUCACUAAUGCAGGAAAGAUUAUCCAUAUGUGUGAAGAACACAAAAAGCGGGGCUGAAACAUGUUAUUGUGUUGUUAUAGUGUGAAGAAAUGUUUUCUAUGACACCGUUUUUCAGACUUUCACACUGAUGAUUAUUCUUCUUCACACCUCAGAUUCAGUGGAAAAAUUUCAAGACUGCAUCACUUGUUAAUCAGCAGCUGUAUGAUCUUCAGCUGCAGGGUGGUUUGAGGACCCGUUUGAAAUCACGUGAGCCUCGUCACAUGAUUUCAAACAGUAUCUUAUUAAUACUUGUUUGGCCUCUGCUCUGUCACAGUGCCAGUGUGAGGGUGUCAUGAAUAUUGAUGUUUCACAGCUGGUCCACCAGGGGGCACU
rnacentral:lncRNA from 1 species